rnacentral:snRNA from 1 species
AAAAUUUUUCAAAGAAAAAAAAAAUCUGUUCUUAUCAGUUUAAUAUCUGAUACGUCCCCCAUCGGGGACUACAUAUUAAAUGGAUUUUUAGAUCACGGAGCUGGAGCCGGGGCUUGCUCCGUCCACUCCAUGCAUCGGCCUGGUAUUGCAGUGUCUCCAGGAACGGUGUGCUUUCC